UGUAUUUGAAAAUGGAUCUCAAUGAGAGACGCCGUGCGUGAAUCUGCUAAACGCACCUACGCGCGUGAGUGCGCAAAAAACCCGCACGAUGAUGCAGAUCUAGACUCCCGCAGGAACGCGCGUAGGUGCGUCGACACACAAUAUGCAGCGCGAUGCGGGGCAGUGUAAAGAUCACCUAAGCCAGCAGUAACUCUAACACUGCCCCGGAGUAAAACUCUAGUUGUGCAGAUGGCGCCAUAGUCGACUGCAAUGUAAACAGGGGAUUCCUCUUUCUGCGGCCCUCCGCCCGACUUGCUAGCUUGGACUAUAUUUCCUUCGUCGAUGGAACAAUAUUUUGAUAAUUUAUAUAAAAUUCCCAAAAAUCCUGAAAAAUCCGGACCAAAACGAAAGGAUACAGUUUUCCCCAUUGCCUCGGUGCGAUAGAUGGGAAGCGUAUUACCAAAUUUUUUAGCACCAGCUCAUACCGGAUCAGAAUAUUUUAAUUACAAAGGAAGUUUCAGCAUCGUUUUAUUAGCCCUUGUAGAUAGUGAUUACUGUUUCUUGUUUGCUGACAUAGGAAGCCAAGGGAGUGUAUUAAAUCAAAGCAAUUUGUGGAAAAAAUAUGUAAUGGGACCCUUAAUUUAAAUACGUACUUACACAAAAUGAGUAAAUACGUACUUACUAUUCAAUAAUAAAUAUUGGAAACUAA